rnacentral:tRNA from 1 species
UAUAGUUCAGUGGUAGAAUGCUUGCCUCAUAUGUGCAAGGGUCUGGGUUCGAUCCCCAGUA